rnacentral:sRNA from 1 species
UUCCUUAAGAUAAAUUUUUGAAAUCUUAUACUUCUGUUGUUUUUUUGGUAUGACAAAGUUGCGAGAAGAACUACAACAAGGAGUGUGAUAACUGUAGCUGUGGAUCAAACUGCAGCUGCGGGUCAAGCUGUAACUGUUGAAGAAAUUAUCAGCAUGGUCUCAAACCAAGGAAAAUGGGAAAAAAAUGUGUUUUAUGCUAAGAGAUCUUUGUGUAUGUUGGAAUAAAGACUUGGCAUUGUGUUGCGUAAUGAGUAAGAGUAACUAUUAAGCUUGCUUGACUUGUUCCUGCUGUGUAAUGUUUUUAUUUGUAACCUAAAUCAUAAAUAGUA